rnacentral:rRNA from 1 species
CGUGAGUGAGAAGGGUUUCGGCUCGUAAAGCUCUGUUGUUAAAGAAGAACACGUAUGAGAGUAACUGUUCAUACGUUGACGGUAUUUAACCAGAAAGUCACGGCUAACUACGUGCCAGCAGCCGCGGUAAUACGUAGGUGGCAAGCGUUAUCCGGAUUUAUUGGGCGUAAAGAGAGUGCAGGCGGUUUUCUAAGUCUGAUGUGAAAGCCUUCGGCUUAACCGGAGAAGUGCAUCGGAAACUGGAUAACUUGAGUGCAGAAGAGGGUAGUGGAACUCCAUGUGUAGCGGUGGAAUGCGUAGAUAUAUGGAAGAACACCAGUGGCGAAGGCGGCUACCUGGUCUGCAACUGACGCUGAGACUCGAAAGCAUGGGUAGCGAACA